AUGUAUAGAAGCAUGAUAUCAUUAAUUCAAUUUUUAAAUAUAUUCUUCCAUAUAUAGAUUUUUCUUAAUAUGUAUGCGACUUAGUGUGUUAUGAAUAGGAUUGUAUCCAACUUGGUGUUUAUGCAUUUUGGAGUUAUCGUAGUUUCGCGUGACGUUGCGACCCUGACAGAAAUGGUAAUGACAUCUGGUGACUGUCUCAAUUAGAAUCAAACAAAUUUAUUCGUUGUGUUGACCAACUAUUACUAGAUAUAUAAACAAUUCUUCCACUCAUUGUUCUUCCAUAUCCGACAUACAAAUGUAGUACCGGCAUUUAUAAUUUAUUUAAACUGUUUUGGCCCUUGUCCAGUGUGUAUUAAAUGUCACAUUCUAAUAGGAUACCUUCCUGAUUUGAGGAAGUAAGUCUAUGUUAUUGUAUUUUUUAUCAUACAUCAACUUCGAUUUUUUGUCAAAGUUCUUCCAACAUUUUUUUAUAAUGGCAUUUUUUCGGCUUAUAUCUGAUGCCCCUGAUGAUGCUCUAGAAGCGAAAGUAUACUUGGGCAAUAUUUUAUAAACUAGGUGCUCGAUAUCUGCCUAUUAUUUCAAUAAAUUUCAUAUAUUCGAACAUUCAACUUCCUCCUAUCAUACUGACUAUGGCAGUCUUGGUUGAUACUUACAGAAGACUAUCCUGCAAGAGAAUGAUUGUAUUCCUCAACGUUUGGUUUGUUAGGCAGUGCAUUUUACAUCAAGUCACUCCUACUUUUGCUAGAGUUAAAACAUCAAGAAAUGUACCUGAUAGGGAGAAAUAGUUUUUGGAAAAGAAAAUCCUGAAUAGAGAACUUAAGAAACACUACUCCAAACUCCAUCAGAUUAAUGUUGACUUCAAAAUAACUUACGACAGAACUUUGCAACAUCAUCCUUGAUCAUUUGUUACUGACUCCUUAAGAGAUAUAGAAGACUCUCUCCUACAAUCUACUAAGAAAUGUUUGACCAGCAAACUAAACCUUUUGGUUUUGCAAAAACAACAGAUCAAUGCCUCAACAACUAUGCAUAGGUUUUCAGAUCAUCAAUUCCACCCUUUCAAGAGUCCUAAAUCUAAGUAACACCAACUUUUCAGAGGAAGAACUACAAUUUUUAGAAUUAGGUCUUAAGUUUUCUUGUCAGAAUUUUAGGUUAACAGACUCAGUGCUAGGAAGCUUUACAGUGGAGCUGGCUACUCUCAUAGAAGGUAUGACUAAAAAUAUUGAAACUAAACAGUACUUGAGAAAUUCAUGUAUUAUACUUACUUUUUUACAACAACAACAAUGUAAGUACAAACGUAACUUUCAUAAAAACCACCAUCUAUUUAAGAAACAAAAUGUUUUGCUAAUAUCUAUUAAAGGUAAACUUGAUAGAUAUUCUCUAAUACUUACAGUCUGUACAAUAUAGAUACUGUUGCACGUCAUCCGCGUCAAAGCACGUGACGUCACAUGAUACCAACACGAAAUAUUUAAGUGGUAGGUUUGUUACUGUUUAGAAUCGUUUAGCCGAGUACACUGGAAUUACAGCCACUAGACAUAUUUUAUUAUAUACGCCUAGAAAUAUUAUUGGAAGAUUUCUAUUAAUGUAAAU
rnacentral:lncRNA from 1 species